rnacentral:rRNA from 1 species
CCCUUAGACGUUCUGGGCCGCACGCGCGCUGCACUGACCAGUGCAACAAGCAUCCGUCCUUGGCCGACAGGCUCGGGCAAUCUUUGAACGCUGGUCGUGAUGGGGAUAGACUUUUGCAAUUUUUGGUCUUCAACGAGGAAUUCCUAGUAAACGCAAGUCAUCAACUUGCAUUGAUUACGUCCCUGCCCUUUGUACACACCGCCCGUCGCACCUACCGAUUGAAUGGUCCGGUGAAGCCUCCGGAUUGGCGCGCACCUCGGUGCCGCCGAGAAGUUGGCUAAACCUUACCAUUUAGAGGAAGGUGAAGUCGUANCA